ACGCUGUGAUGACGACUACUUUAUCCAUUCGCAGUUUCCACCAGAGGUCUAACGACCAAAGAUGGUUCAAAUCUUCCUUGGAUGUCUGAGCGU
ensembl:snoRNA SNORD14 Small nucleolar RNA SNORD14